AGAGUUUGAUCCUGACUCAGGAUGAACGCUAGCUACAGGCUUAACACAUGCAAGUCGAGGGGCAGCAUGGUCUUAGCUUGCUAAGGCCGAUGGCGACCGGCGCACGGGUGAGUAACACGUAUCCAACCUGCCGUCUACUCUUGGACAGCCUUCUGAAAGGAAGAUUAAUACAAGAUGGCAUCAUGAGUCCGCAUGUUCACAUGAUUAAAGGUAUUCCGGUAGACGAUGGGGAUGCGUUCCAUUAGAUAGUAGGCGGGGUAACGGCCCACCUAGUCUUCGAUGGAUAGGGGUUCUGAGAGGAAGGUCCCCCACAUUGGAACUGAGACACGGUCCAAACUCCUACGGGAGGCAGCAGUGAGGAAUAUUGGUCAAUGGGCGAGAGCCUGAACCAGCCAAGUAGCGUGAAGGAUGACUGCCCUAUGGGUUGUAAACUUCUUUUAUAAAGGAAUAAAGUCGGGUAUGCAUACCCGUUUGCAUGUACUUUAUGAAUAAGGAUCGGCUAACUCCGUGCCAGCAGCCGCGGUAAUACGGAGGAUCCGAGCGUUAUCCGGAUUUAUUGGGUUUAAAGGGAGCGUAGAUGGGUUGUUAAGUCAGUUGUGAAAGUUUGCGGCUCAACCGUAAAAUUGCAAUUGAUACUGGCAGUCUUGAGUACAGUUGAGGUAGGCGGAAUUCGUGGUGUAGCGGUGAAAUGCUUAGAUAUCACGAAGAACUCCGAUUGCGAAGGCAGCUUACUAACCUGUAACUGACAUUGAUGCUCGAAAGUGUGGGUAUCAAACAGGAUUAGAUACCCUGGUAGUCCACACGGUAAACGAUGAAUACUCGCUGUAGGCGAUAUACAGUCUGCGGCCAAGCGAAAGCAUUAAGUAUUCCACCUGGGGAGUACGCCGGCAACGGUGAAACUCAAAGGAAUUGACGGGGGCCCGCACAAGCGGAGGAACAUGUGGUUUAAUUCGAUGAUACGCGAGGAACCUUACCCGGGCUUAAAUUGCAACCGAAUAUGGCGGAAACGCUAUAGCUAGCAAUAGCGGUUGUGAAGGUGCUGCAUGGUUGUCGUCAGCUCGUGCCGUGAGGUGUCGGCUUAAGUGCCAUAACGAGCGCAACCCUUGCCGAUAGUUACUAACAGGUUAUGCUGAGGACUCUGUCGGGACUGCCAUCGUAAGAUGUGAGGAAGGUGGGGAUGACGUCAAAUCAGCACGGCCCUUACGUCCGGGGCUACACACGUGUUACAAUGGGGGGUACAGAGGGCUGCUACCACGCAAGUGGAUGCCAAUCCUAAAAACCUCUCUCAGUUCGGAUUGAAGUCUGCAACCCGACUUCAUGAAGCUGGAUUCGCUAGUAAUCGCGCAUCAGCCACGGCGCGGUGAAUACGUUCCCGGGCCUUGCACUCACCGCCCGUCAAG
rnacentral:rRNA from 1 species